rnacentral:rRNA from 1 species
UACGGAGGGGGCAAGCGUUGUUCGGAGUCACUGGGCGUAAAGGGCGCGUAGGCGGUGCGUAAAGUCAGGCGUGAAAGCCCCGGGCUUAACCUGGGAAUUGCGCUUGAUACUGACGUGCUAGAGAACGGGAGAGGAGAUUGGAAUUUACGGUGUAGCAGUGAAAUGCGUAGAUAUCGUAAGGAAGACCAGUGGCGAAGGCGAAUCUCUGGACAGUUACUGACACUGAGGCACGAAGGCCAGGGGAGCAAACGGG